rnacentral:rRNA from 1 species
CCUACGGGGGACAGCAGUGGGGAAUAUUGGGCAAUGGGCGCAAGCCUGACCCAGCAACGCCGCGUGAAGGAAGAAGGCUUUCGGGUUGUAAACUUCUUUUCUCAGGGACGAAGCAAGUGACGGUACCUGAGGAAUAAGCCACGGCUAACUACGUGCCAGCAGCCGCUGGAAUACGUAGGUGGCAAGCGUUAUCCGGAUUUACUGGGUGUAAAGGGCGUGUAGGCGGGAAAGCAAGUAAGAUGUGAAAACCAUGGGCUCAACCUGUGGCCUGCAUUUGAAACUGUUUUUCUUGAGUACUGGAGAGGCAGACGGAAUUCCUAGGGUAGCGGUGGAAUGCGUAGAUAUUAGGAGGAACACCAGUGGCGAAGGCGAUUUGCUGGACUGUAACUGACACUGAGGCACGAAAGCGUGGGGAGCAAACAGGAUUAGAUACCCGGGUAGUC